UGGCAGGAAGAUGGCGUCUAUGCGGUAGUGCUAGCAUUUUCAUUGAAUUAAGAUAUGGACAAAGCUCACUCAUUUUUCAGCCCGAGUUUUUAGUUAGUUAUUCGCAAGUGCUGUUCGUCUUAGUACGUACAUACGCUAUGAGUUUCAGUGAUACUUUGCGUUGUGGAUUGUCUCCGGACUUUCGUUAAUGUGUUUCGGUUCCUGGCUUCCACUAACCAGCACAUAAUAAAUUAGUAUAGUUUUUAGAAUCGUUAAAGCAUUGUGUUGGCUGUUAUGAGUAUCACGUUAGACAGUGUUUGCUCAUACAUUUAAUGGAUUGGAGCGUACAAGAGAAUUUACUCAGAAACGAACUACAAUGUUUACAAAUACGUUUUUAAAUAGUUUGAUUUCACUUCCUCGCUAGCCAGGAAAAAUAAAAAGAAAAAAUGGAAGAUAAGAAUCCAGAACGGAAGAUAAUGGUUUUUCGGCCAACCUACGAGGAAUUUAAAGAUUUCUCAAAAUUCAUUGGCUACAUGGAAUCACAAGGCGCCCACAAAGCCGGCGUUGCUAAGAUCAUACCACCACCAGAAUGGGUGCCACGAAAAUCGGGAUAUAAUAUAGAUGAAAUUGAUUUGAACAUACCAGCUCCAAUCUGUCAGGUUGUUGAUGGGAAACCUGGUCUUUAUACUCAAAUCAAUGUACAGAAGAAAGCAAUGACUGUUAAGGAAUACAGGGAUCUAGCUUGCAGUGAUAGUUACAAUACACCAAAGCACAACGAUUAUGAAGAGCUUGAGAGCAUGUACUGGAAGAAAAUAAUGUAUGGUUCACCAAUUUAUGGAGCAGAUGUCUCAGGCUCACUAACAGAUAAAGAUGUUGAUGUGUGGAACAUAAACCAUCUGGGAACCAUAUUAGAUUAUGUGAAUGAGGAUUACGGCAUUAGCAUAGAUGGAGUUAACACCGCGUACUUGUAUUUUGGAAUGUGGAAAACCACCUUUGCAUGGCAUACAGAAGAUAUGGAUCUCUAUAGUAUUAACUAUCUCCAUUUUGGGGCACCAAAGACAUGGUAUGCCAUCCCACCAGAGCACGGCCGCAGGUUUGAGCGGUUGGCAACAGGAUUUUUCCCUGAGGCUUCAAAAAGCUGUCCUGCCUUCCUGCGGCACAAAAUGUCGCUAAUAUCUCCGAGAGUAAUGAGAAAGUACUCCAUUCCUUUCAAUAAAAUUACUCAGGAAGCAGGUGAAAUCAUGAUAACAUUUCCAUACGGAUACCAUGCAGGUUUCAACCAUGGUUUUAACUGUGCAGAGUCAACAAAUUUUGCCACUCCCCGUUGGGUGGAAUAUGGAAAGAGGGCAUCUCAGUGUCAUUGCAGGGAGGACAUGGUGAAAAUCAGUAUGGACACAUUUGUGAAGCGUCUCCAGCCAGACCGCUACCUCCUUUGGCUGCAGGGGAAAGACGUGGGUCCCCACCCCGAGGAUCCCUCGCGAAACUACGCUGCACCUCCACCCACGCAGCGUGAAGUUCUUGCAAACAAAAAUAUUUUGUGCCACAGCAAUGCCGACAUGCCGCAGAACGUGCUCAUGAACAUUCCGAGGGCGAAGACCCACCACCGCAAGAAGGUGUCUCCCGGCAGCGUUACAGAGUUGCCUUCCGACCUAGAAGACUUGGACGGUCUCGAAUAUCCACACGACUUACCUUCAGAGGUAAUCAGGAUAGCGGAGGAGAUACGCAAUGAAGAAAUCGACUUAAUGGAUGAGAAGACAUUUGAGGUCAUGCAGGAUGUGUGGCUGAAAGCUGGAGAGAUGGAUAUAACAGAGACACUCUUAUAUGAGGAAGAGCUCCGCAAGAAACGCAAACGGAGGCGAAACAGUGAACACUGCAGCCCGACAAAGAGGCUGAGCAAUUUGGAGGAAGACGAAAGCUGCGAAGACAGUCAGCACGAACUUCAGUCGCAACAAGAAGGUGCGAGGACGAAGAAAUGCAAACAUAAGAGGCACCACCACCACCAUCACCGUCACCAUCACCGCCACCGCGACAAGUUAAAGUUGGACUUCAGCCCGGAGGAGCUGGAGGAGGCGGGCAUCCCGGAUGCACUGCUGCAGUACCUGGCCGCCGAGGAAGGGGAGGGCGUGGCGGCCGCAGAGCUUGAAUCGAAGAGCCGACCACCCAAGUUGAAGCGCCACCCUGUCACGGUGACGGAGAAGCGCUGCAUCGACGAGUACUUGGAGCUGAUAGACCGCCACUACGAGGAGGCCGCAGAAAAGAGGUUGUCUGCGGCCGGUGGCAGCGGGCCAUCACUAACGCGGAUCGUGGAAGCGCUCCGGCAGCCACAGCGCCCAACGCAGCCGGCUGGCGAGUCUGCCAAUAGUGACUGUCAUAACAAGAGCAUUAAGAGUGAAGAUGCAGAUUUUACAGCUGAGGACAUGAAUGCUGUACAUGGACUUCUGAAUCUGCAGUCGAAGAAUACAUCACCGGUGUUGACGACUGAGCACGUGCCCUCUGCAAGUGGAUUAGACGUGGAAUGCCCCAUCCUGGAUAGCCAAGUUCCAAGUGUUGGAGCCACUGUCGAUGUCACGACAGGGUCUUCACCAGUGAAGGACAUCAAACCAUCAAAGGUUUUAAUUGUGAGGAAUAUUGGUACAGACCAGGAUGGUACGGGCAGGUAUCUAAAACUUGCCAAUACUUACGUACCAUUUAAAAUGGAACCGUAUGACGGUGGCAAGUUCGUGGUGAUACAGCCGCCCAGAGCAUCACAGGAGUCAGUGAGCCACACACUUGGCCAGCAGCAGCCACUGCCUCUAACAUCUCCGGGACAAAACUUCGACGCCCAGUCACAAACUAGGGUUGUUGUGCAAAGGUCAUCUGUGCCACCUUUCCCCAGCAAAACACCGUUCCAUGUUCAGGUAAAUAUUGGCAAGAACAACAUGUUCAUGUGCAAUGUGGAGACUGGUGAAAUCCGCCCUCUGGGCCAAACGGAGGACAGCUCCUCUGCGAGCCGGCAGGCCGGUUCGCUCUCCCACUUUGCUGCAACCGCUCGGCAGCCACAGCAGCAGCAACAGAAACUCGGCUGGCACGCUGCCACACACGUACACACAGGGCCGCCCAGCCAGAAGGUGGUAAAGUUGCUGGGGGAGUUCAUUCUGCCAAAGAUCGACGUCGCAAAGCAGCCUGCUGACGCCAAAAAAACGAUGUACCUACUGCCUCCAAAAGGCGGUUCUGUUUCACCGGAUGUCAACCAGAGGACAGACUCUGCUGGCGAGAGCACACCGCCUGGCACAGUGGGUGUUUCAGAGCCCAUCCAGAACAAUACGUUGAAGCAGUUGUUGGCCUACCGUCCCACUGUGGGUGCAAAGCCCACUUCCGGAGGGCAGAGCAGAGAAGGGAGCAUCUCUGCUGUGAAGCCGGCAAGUGUCGGAGUGAGUUCAGAACGCAGCAGACAGCUCAGAGCUCUCAUCAAGCUGUUGGGACCCACAGCCAAUCUCAAGAAUGAAGCAAUACUGAAGAGAAUCAGUCAAGCUCUGUCACUAGCAAGGGCCAGAGCACGAUCAGAAGACAAUCCAAAUUCCAAAGGUAGCGCAAUUUCAAAGGCUGGGGCAUGGAGGAAAGGAGCACCUUCUGAUCGCUCCCUAGACAGAGUGGGAACUUCUGCAUCAGAAGGCGGUAAAUCUAGUCGCCCAGUCUCCGGCAGAUUUUCAGAAUUCGCAGUUCCUAGCAGUGUCGACAGUCAAUCAGGUGACGCGAAGCAGUGGAGACGUGCUACAGCGUACCGGCAGCAGCGUAAGCGCGGCAGCAGGCUCAACGGCGUGGGCCCGUCCGGUCGGCCUCCGAGGCCGCCCGUCCGUCCACCGAUAUCUGCCCGCAAGAAUCUGAGUCCUGCCGAUCAGCAGAAGCUUAUAGAACUGCAAAAAGUGCUGGAUGACUUUGUGGAGAAUGUUAUCCUCGAGAAAGGUGACAACCCCAAAAGUGAAGAGAAAUUGGGGAAUGACCAGGCAGCCAUUUCGACACCUCCCGACGGUGCCGUUAAGGUGAAAGGGGAGCGGUACGCUGGUGGGAGCGAGUGUUUUCUCCCGGGGCAGGAGAAGAGUGACAAGAAGCGAGAGCAGUCGGUAACACUGUACGCGGCAGCCGAAGGCGCGCCUCUGCCAUCGUGUACGCUGACAAAGGUCAGUGUCAAACCGAAGGACGAGAAGGUGCUGUUCAAGUACGAGCAGUCAGUGACACCCGGAUCGGGAUCCGCGCCUGGCUGCGGCACGACUCGCCAGGUGUGUCGCCCUGACCUGGUGAGGCCACUGUCGGUCGCCAUCACGAGACUACCCACGACGGUCGCCUCGGCAGCUGCCGGCAAUGGCAGCUCCUGUUCACCCGCCCCGCUUCUGGUGCCGGCAGAUGAGGAGCCGGCCUGCAACAGUCCUCGCAGCGAACCACCUCAGCUGUCUCCCGAAGGAGGUCCUGGAUUCAUGAAGGAGAUGCAGCACUCGGCGCCGGCAGAUAUGGCCCUGGAGCGUGCUUUCAAUGCAUACUGGAGCGAACAGUACCCGCACUGUUCCCUGUGCACUGUUUUGCUGCACACAAAGUGCUGUUCAGGUGACAUAAACUUAGACGAAUGGAAGAACAGUCGGACAGUGACGAAACCGUAUGUGAGUCCAGUAUGGUUUCCAGAGCGUAGUAAGGAGAUGGAGUCACGGCGCUUCUUCGACUCCCACACGGGUGUGAAGGUGCUGCUGACAUGUGUUGAGUGUCAGCUGUGUGUGCACACAACGUGUUACGGCACCAGUGAGCAGCUCCCAAGUGCAGCGGGCAACAUACGCGGCAACUGGCGCUGUGAGAGGUGUCUCUUCGGCUCCCUCGGUUCGGUUUGUUCACUGUGCAGUAUGCGUGGCGGAGCAUUACGUCGCACCGACUCAGGGGCCUGGGUGCACCUGCUGUGUUCGGCCGCUCUGCCCGGCGUGCCAUUCCACGAUGCUCUGGAUGUGAGGGGCAUCAGUCUGUAUGCUAGGCAUCUGGACUGCAAGUACUGCGGAGUGCGUGCGGGGGCGUGCGUGCGCUGCUGCCACGAGGGCUGCAGUGCCGCGUUCCACGCCACCUGCGGCCUGCUGGCGGGCGCCCGCUUCGGGCUGCGCGUGCCGCCAGACUGCCGCAGCGUGCUGGAGGCGCGCUGCCGGAGGCACGCCCGCAAGGCGUGUGCUUUCGAAACGGGGCAGGCGGUGGUGGUGUGGGUCGGGGGCAGCUGCUUCGCCCCCGGGCACCUCACCCGCAUGUCAGUCAGGCCGCUGCUCAAGGUCGCCCUGCCAGACGGCAGACUCCUCCACGAGGUCGACCCGUCCGCCAUACUCAGCCGGGACUGCUCACGCCUCGGCACACCUCUUCUCAACUCUGAAGUGGACGUCUGGCUGAAUGGUAUGAGGUGUUCAGCAACAUUUCAGGGUGUGACAAUCAAGCAGGAGUUUGAUGUUGUUCUGAACAACUCAGAGAAGAGAACAUUCAGACACGAAGAACUUUUUCGCGUUAAGGAUGAGAAUUUGUGAUAACUGGUAAAGAAUUUGAUCAAAAAGCUUCAAAACUACAGAUGUAUCACUGAGAGAGGAAAACCAAUCACAUCCAAAAAGGCUGCAUCAAAACACAUUCCACUGUAUGUCACCAGCUGUCCUCACCAAUAUUGGAGCAAGAUGGCGCAUUCUGCACAAUUUUCUGCCAAAUUGUGUGAUGAAACAGAACAUUUUAUAAAUGCUUGCCUAGCUUCCAGUUUAUGAGUAACUGCCAGCUUCCAUCUCCUGUCAGCCGUGCCCACACAUGGCCAUUCCACCGAGGAGUGCUCUGUCUCUUCCCUCAGAUUUAGCCGAAACUUCCAGUUUUUGUAGCAUUAGUAGCUCAUACGUUCUAUUGACACUUUGUGAACAUUCUAUUGUAAAUAGUUACAAAACAGUGUGAAUUUAUUUUGUUCUCGAAAAUGCAAUCGGCGUCACUGUGAGAGCCACAUAACACAUGCUCUGAUUACGACAGAAGGUGGUCGAUCGCCCGACGAUUGGUGUUGUGUCUCAGAGAAACUGUACAAUCCUGCUUCCAUAUAUUUUGUAUUAUGUAUAGAUUUGAGUGAGUUCUUAAGUAUUUUUUUUGUCUCUAGAGACUGAGUUGACACAGACUAUUAGUGUGGAACUGUCUGUCGGAGUACAGCAUUGACUAUAGUUUCACUUAGAUUCACUGAGUUGCACUGUAAACUGGCAGCGUUUUCUUUGACAUUUCUUGUCAUUACAACAAAAGCACCAUUAAAAAAGUUUUAA